rnacentral:rRNA from 1 species
UACGAAGGGGGCUAGCGUUGCUCGGAAUUACUGGGCGUAAAGGGUGCGUAGGCGGGUCUUUAAGUCAGGGGUGAAAUCCUGGAGCUCAACUCCAGAACUGCCUUUGAUACUGAAGAUCUUGAGUUCGGGAGAGGUGAGUGGAACUGCGAGUGUAGAGGUGAAAUUCGUAGAUAUUCGCAAGAACACCAGUGGCGAAGGCGGCUCACUGGCCCGAUACUGACGCUGAGGCACGGAAAGCGUGGGGAGCAAACAGG